rnacentral:rRNA from 1 species
GAUGAACGCUAGCUACAGGCUUAACACAUGCAAGUCGAGGGCAGCAGGGAUUUAGCUUGCUAAAUUCGCUGGCGACCGGCGCACGGGUGCGUAACGCGUAUCCAACUUUCCCGUUACUCAGGGAUAGCCUUCCGAAAGGGAGAUUAAUACCUGAUGGUGUUUGAAAUUCGCAUGUUCUUCAAACUAAAGAUUUAUCGGUAACGGAUAGGGAUGCGUGACAUUAGAUAGUAGGCGGGGUAACGGCCCACCUAGUCUACGAUGUCUAGGGGUUCUGAGAGGAAGGUCCCCCACACUGGAACUGAGACACGGUCCAGACUCCUACGGGAGGCAGCAGUGAGGAAUAUUGGUCAAUGGUCGGAAGACUGAACCAGCCAAGUAGCGUGAAGGAUGAAGGUUCUAUGGAUUGUAAACUUCUUUUAUAUAGGAAUAAAACCUCCCACGUGUGGGAGCUUGUAUGUACUAUAUGAAUAAGCAUCGGCUAACUCCGUG